GAUCGAGACUUAUCUGAGAAAUGUGAUGAUGGUGAUGCUGAACUUCCUCCUUCGGGCUCACAGCCUAUAGCACCUGGGAGCUCUUCUAGUACCCAACGAGGAUUCAAGAAGAAAAGAGUAAGGAAUAAUGAUGGCCUUAUGGAGUCAUUGGCAGAGGGGUUUAUGACUUUUACUGAGGCUUAUAAAGAAGGAAUCAAUGAAAUGAGGAACAUGGCUUACUCUUUUGAGGU
rnacentral:lncRNA from 1 species